rnacentral:lncRNA from 1 species
UCCUUAUUAUAUGUCAGGCACAGUUGUAGGUACUGAGGAUAAAACAGUAAAUAAAACACAAAGUCUGCUUAUGUUAAAUGGCUUAUUCAAUCUUGGUUUCUUUUCUGCCUGUGUAUUCCCAUACAUGUUCAUGUUCAAUAGCUCAUUUUAAGUAGAUAUAUAUUCAUUUACUUCAUCUUUGCAUCAUCCUGGUCAAAUUGGGAUAAAAGAGGAUUAAUUCCAUGUGAUGGAUGGAGAAACAGAGGCCUAGAGAGAGAGCUGAUUUACACAACACAUCCUCACAGCACCAUGGACUUCCUUCUCCUGUGUUUCUACUGGUUUCUGGAAUUAUCUGAUGAAGGUCUUUCUCCAGCUCUGCUGUCUCCCUCCAUGAAGACAAAGCUCGUGGCUGCUGGUGCUCACCACUCUCUUCCCCAUUCAGCACGGUUCCUCUGACGGAUGCAUAGACAGCUCCUUCCCAAGUGCUCAGUCAGGGACAUCUGCUGAGCCACGGUUGCACCUUCAGGGAGGAAUAUUUUUAUCAUCGAGAUGCCACAAAAGGAAACUUCUGAAGGCUGGAUGAAAAUGGCCUCUGUGUUCCCAGAGCCUCAGGGCCCAGGAGGAUUCCUCAGAGACUACUCAGAUGGCCGGCGGUGUGGGGGGUACCAAGUGGACACAAUUUCCUCUACCUGCUUUGACCAGAGAAUUCAACUUAAUCUAAUUAAUGGGCCAGGCUUCUAAAAUGCUGCUGAAAGAGAAAGAGAGAUUGAAAUCUCCAGAUCAUCCAUAGUUAGAUGAUCCAAAAAGAUGCUUACAGCUUUAACUUGAUGGAGUCAAAAUCUUUUCUCCCCAGUGGGUUACAGGCUACACAGCUGGGGCCCAAGUCAAUGCCUGUGAAAGGAAGGAGGGAACCAUGGAGACGUCUGUGGUGUUGCAUGUUUAUCUCCUCUCACCAACCAGACUGAGAGACUCUGCCUUGCAUUUCUCUUGCAUUCUCCAGAGAGCUCCCAGCGCAGGCCUGCAGUCUGGCCUCAAACCCUCUUCCUAGCUGGGAGAUGGGGGAGGGAGCAGAAGUUGGGGGAAGGACCUCUGGAAGACAGAACCUAUUACCCUGACCAUUCGUGCUUCUGCUCAGUCACUCAAUCGUGUCCAACUGUUCGGGACCCUGUGGACUGUAGCCCGCUGGGCUCCUCUGUCCAUGGGAUGUUCCAGGCGAGAAUACUGGAGUGCAUUGCCAUUUCUUCCUCCAGGGAAUUUUUCUGACCCGGGGAUCAAACUCAUGUCUCCUGCAUUGGCAGGCAGAUUCUUCACCACUUGAGCCACUUGGGAAGCCUUACCCCAACCAUAAAAUAUAAUAAAACAAAUGCAGAUGCUCUGGAGGUGAGUCCC